rnacentral:rRNA from 1 species
UACGUAGGGGGCAAGCGUUGUCCGGAUUUAUUGGGCGUAAAGAGCGUGUAGGCGGCCAUACAGGUCCGUUGUGAAAACUGGAGGCUUAACCUCCAGACGUCGAUGGAAACCGUAUGGCUUGAGUGUGGGAGAGGUGAGUGGAAUUCCUGGUGUAGCGGUGAAAUGCGUAGAUAUCAGGAGGAACACCCGUGGCGAAAGCGGCUCUCUGGGACGGUACUGACGCUGAGACGCGAAAGCGUGGGGAGCAAACAGG